CGAAACUUGCCCCGAGAUGAGUUCUCCCUGACUCCUUGAGAGUCCUGAAGGAACGUUGAAGACGACGACGUUGAUAGGCCGGGUGUGUAAGCGCAGCGAUGCGUUGAGCUAACCGGUACUAAUGAACCGUGAGGCUUAACCUUACAACGCCGAAG
rnacentral:rRNA from 2 species